rnacentral:rRNA from 1 species
ACAAUGGAGAGUUUGAUCCUGGCUCAGGAUGAACGCUAGCUACAGGCUUAACACAUGCAAGUCGAGGGGAAACGAUAUCGGAAGCUUGCUUCCGAUAGGCGUCGACCGGCGCACGGGUGAGUAACGCGUAUCCAACCUGCCCACCACUUGGGGAUAACCUUGCGAAAGUAAGACUAAUACCCAAUGACGUCUCUAGAAGACAUCUGAAAGGGAUUAAAGAUUUAUCGGUGAUGGAUGGGGAUGCGUCUGAUUAGCUUGUUGGCGGGGUAACGGCCCACCAAGGCGACGAUCAGUAGGGGUUCUGAGAGGAAGGUCCCCCACAUUGGAACU